AAUCACCGCAAGCUCAUGGA
rnacentral:misc_RNA from 1 species